UCCUACGGGCGCAGCAGUAGGGAAUAUUGCUCAGUGGGGGAAACCCUGAAGCAGCAACGCCGCGUGGAGGAUGAAGGUUUUCGGAUUGUAAACUCCUUUUGUUAGAGAAGAUAAUGACGGUUUCUAACGAAUAAGCACCGGCUAACUCCGUGCCAGCAGCCGCGGUAAUACGGAGGGUGCAAGCGUUACUCGGAAUCACUGGGCGUAAAGAGCGCGUAGGCGGGAUAGCAAGUCAGAUGUGAAAUCCUAUGGCUUAACCAUAGAACUGCAUUUGAAACUGUUAUUCUAGAGUAUGGGAGAGGUAG
rnacentral:rRNA from 1 species